GUCGCCGUCGCCGUCCGUCAAGAGAUCUGAGAGCGCUGGGCAUUGGCCUAAACCCUCGAAAAGCGCAUCAAUCUCCUCCGCGCUCAGAAUGCGAGAUUCGCCGCCACCGACCCCGACUUGCGAUGCUUCCUCCUCCAAAGAUUUCAAUUUAUCGCGCGCGCAGUCACGGACGGCUUCGUACUUCAAGAUCAGGGACUCGAGGUCCUCC
rnacentral:lncRNA from 1 species